UAUGCUGUUAUCUCCUACUCCUUGGCCUCCUUUGUUUCUCCCUCUGCUCCUCUCCAAACACUGGAGAGUCUGACGCUUGCUCAGAUGAAAUAGAACGUCUUUUCCAUUGAAUGUCAAGUUGUGAUCUCCAGUCCCUUCACCUCUCCUGAACUGCAGACACAUAGUGACUCUGUACUCCCACUUGGACAUCCUAAGAAAUCUCCACGUCAACCUAACAUACAAAAUUGAACUUCUGCUCCCCAGCCUGCAGCAGAUUUGUUUUCUUUCCAUUGUUAACAUCCCAGCAAAUGGUACCACCAUCCAUCUAACAGCUGAAGUAAAAAACCUAGUUUCUCUAUGACUCACAUUUUCUCGUCAUGCUGACUUUCCUCCUGUUCUUUGAAGAGACCAUGUUCAUUCCUGCCUUAGGAUCCUGUGGGUAGAAUGCUCUUCCCUCCGAUCUCUGGAUUCAGAAUAAGCUCAUCUACAGCAAAGGAAACAGUUAACAAAAC